rnacentral:rRNA from 1 species
GUAGGUGGCAAGCGUUGUCCGGAAUUAUUGGGCGUAAAGCGCGCGCAGGCGGUUCUUUAAGUCUGAUGUGGAAGCCCACGGCUCAACCGUGGAGGGUCAUUGGAAACUGGAGAACUUGAGUACAGAAGAGGAAAGCGGAAUUCCACGUGUAGCGGUGAAAUGCGUAGAGAUGUGGAGGAACACCAGUGGCGAAGGCGGCUUUCUGGUCUGUAACUGACGCUGAGGCGCGAAAGCGUGGGGAGCAAACAGGGAUUAGAUACCCUGGUAGUCCACGCCGUAAACGAUGAGUGCUAAGUGUAGGGGGUUUCCGCCCCCUUAGUGCUGCAGCUAACGCAUUAAGCACUCCGCCUGGGGAGUACGGCCGCAAGGCUG